CGGGCGAUCUGCCUCGCCGUCGCCGAGGAGAGGAGUAGGCUCGCCGCCGGUGGCCAAUCAGGCCGGCCUCGUGCGCCGGCCACCCGUCUCCGCGCGCCCUUUAGCCAUGCCAGGCUCUCCGAUCCAAACGCCCCCUCCACAACCCAAACCCAAACCGCACCGCCGCGUCCUCCUCUCGGUGCCGGCUCUCCUCGCCGUCGCCUUCGCCGUCCUCCUCGCCGCCUCCCCCAAUCCUCUCCCCCGCAUCCUCCGCCUGCUCCUCGGGCCGAAGUCUUCCCUGCUCCGCCCGACGGAGAUACGCCCCUCGGUGGAUGCCUCGCCCGACGCGGGACGCCCACCAUGUGUUCUAUGGAUGGCCCCCUUCGCCUCCGGCGGCGGCUACUGCUCCGAGGCCUGGUCCUACGUCGCCUCCCUUGACGAGCACGCCACCGCCGCCAGCGCGAACUUCACACUCGCAAUCGCCCACCACGGCGACCUGGAGUCGCCGGAGUUCUGGCUCGGGUUGCCCGAGCAAUCCAAGAAGUUGGCGUACAGGCUCGCCACCGCGCGGUGUGAGCUCUCCCGCGCGGUGGUUGUCUGCCACAGCGAGCCUGGCGCAUGGUACCCGCCGAUGUACGAGUCCUUGCCUUGCCCGCCCACCGGCUACGACGAGCCGGCGUUCGUCAUUGGGCGCACAAUGUUUGAGACGGACCGCCUCUCACCGGAGCACGUAAGACGGUGCAACCAGAUGGACGCCAUCUGGGUGCCGACCGACUUCCAUGUAUCGACAUUCGUGAAGAGCGGGGUGGAUCCCUCCAAGGUUGUCAAAGUUGUGCAGGCUGUGGAUGUAGGAUUCUUUCAUCCGGCCAAGCACACCGCACUUCCUUUGCCAAUUGGUGUGCCUGUGCUGGUGCUUGAUGAUUCAAGGUUGGGCCUUGAUGGCUCGAAAGGCAAAGGCUUUGUGUUUCUCAGUGUGUUCAAAUGGGAGCAGAGGAAGGGUUGGGAUGUGCUGCUCAGAGCUUUCUUGCAGGAGUUCUCUGGAGCUGAUGAUGUUGCACUUUACCUGCUGAUCAAUGCCUACCACUCAGACACAGACUUCAGUAGGAAAAUCCGCAGUUUCGUCAAAGAAUCCAGCAUUGAGGAGCCUACGGAUGGAUGGGCAGAAGUUCGGCUGAUUGGUGAGCAUGUCCCACAAUCUGCUCUUCCAAGGCUGUACAAGGCUGCGGAUGCCUUUGUGCUACCAUCCCGUGGUGAGGGCUGGGGCAGGCCAGUGGUGGAAGCCAUGUCCAUGGAACUGCCAGUGAUUGUGACGGAUUGGUCAGGUCCAACAGAGUACUUAACUGAGGAGAAUGGGUACCCAUUGGACAUUGACAGGAUGGCUGAGGUCACAGAAGGACCAUUUAAGGGUCAUCUCUGUGCUGAGCCAUCUGUUGAUCAUCUGAGGACUUUGAUGAGACAUGUAUUCAGUGAUCGAGAAGAAGCAAGGAGAAAAGGUAAGAAGGCAAGGGAGGAUAUGGUUGAGAGGUUUUCACCAGCAAUUGUUGCAAGGAUUGUUGCUGAUCAGCUACAACAGACAAUUGCCAGUACUCGGUAGAUGGAUAACUGAAAUGUGAUUGCAAAUUUUAACCAGGAAGUGGAUAUAUAUCAUGCGCCACUCAUGAUUGUUUGCUUGGUAUCUAUCCAUGGAGGGAAGUGGUUCAACGAACGCAGUAUUAGAUGCUUCGGGCACUGAGGUAGUAGUGAGUGGUCUUGACGAUCGCCGUUCAUGCCUCAAUCCACGAUGCUGAAGAAGACGCUGCGGGAAGGCUCAUCGACGCGCUCACAGGUAUAGUUGGCCAGAUGGGCGCCCGGCCUGGCACGGCCUAGGCACGGUUGGACAUAUGCCGGAAUGCGUCGGGCUAGCACGGGCCGUGCCGUGCUAGCCUACGGGCGGCACCGGUAGUCCAGGCAUGGCCCAAUACCACUCGGGCCAUGUUGGGCCGGCCCAAAGGCACGAUGGCCCACCGUGCUUCUUCAGUAAAUAAGUCUAUAUGUCAUCUCUCACUUCUCUGGCCUGUUGAAUAAGUCUAUUCUCCCCUCUCUUUUUGGGUUAUAUAUAUAGUUAGAAUAAUUCUAUUUGGCAUACUUUUUUUGGCUAUAUAUAUGAAUAAAUUAAGUCUA